AUUGAACGCUGGCGGCAGGCUUAACACAUGCAAGUCGAGCGGGGUGAUGGUGCUUGCACUAUCACUUAGCGGCGGACGGGUGAGUAAUGCUUAGGAAUCUGCCGAUUAGUGGGGGACAACAUCUCGAAAGGGAUGCUAAUACCGCAUACGUCCUACGGGAGAAAGCAGGGGAUCACUUGUGACCUUGCGCUAAUAGAUGAGCCUAAGUCGGAUUAGCUAGUUGGUGGGGUAAAGGCCUACCAAGGCGACGAUCUGUAGCGGGUCUGAGAGGAUGAUCCGCCACACUGGGACUGCGACACGGCCCAGACUCCUACGGGAGGCAGCAGUGGGGAAUAUUGGACAAUGGGGGGAACCCUGAUCCAGCCAUGCCGCGUGUGUGAAGAAGGCCUUAUGGUUGUAAAGCACUUUAAGCGAGGAGGAGGCUCUUUUGGUUAAUACCCAAGAUGAGUGGACGUUACUCGCAGAAUAAGCACCGGCUAACUCUGUGCCAGCAGCCGCGGUAA
rnacentral:rRNA from 1 species